rnacentral:rRNA from 1 species
CCUACGGGAGGCAGCAGUGAGGAAUAUUGGUCAAUGGACGAGAGUCUGAAGCAGCCAAGUAGCGUGAAGGAUGACUGCCCUAUGGGUUGUAAACUUCUUUUAUAAAGGAAUAAAACGAGGCACGUGUGCCUUUUUGCAUGUACUUUAUGAAUAAUGAUCGGCUAACUCCGUGCCAGCAGCCGUGGUAAUACGGAGGAUGCGAGCGUUAUCCGGAUUUAUUGGGUUUAAAGGGAGCGUAGAUGGGUUGGUAAGUGAGUUGUGAAAGUUUGUGGCUCAACCGUAAAAUUGCAAUUGAUACUGGGAGUCUUGAGUACAGUUGAGGUAGGCGGAAUUCGUGGUGUAGCGGUGAAAUGCUUAGAUAUCACGAAGAACACCGAUUGCGAAGGCAGCUUACUAGACUGUAACUGACAUUGAUGCUCGAAAGUGUGGGUAGCAAACAGGAUUAGAUACCCGAGUAGUC